UAGGGAAUAUUGCAAAUGGGCGAAGGCCUGAUGUAGCAACGCCGCGUGUGCGAUGAAGGUCUUCGGAUUGUAAAGCACUUUUUGGAGGGAUGAGGAAGGACAGUACCUCCAGAAUAAGCCUCGGCUAACUACGUGCCAGCAGCCGCGGUAACACGUAGGAGGCAAGCGUUAUUCGGAUUUACUGGGCGUAAAGCGCGUGCAGGCGGUUUGGAAAGUUGGAUGUGAAAGCUCCUGGCUCAACUGGGAGAGGUCGUUCAAAACUUCCAGAUCUGAGAGUGGUAGAGGGAGGUGGAAUUCCGGGUGUAGUGGUGAAAUGCGUAGAUAUCCGGAGGAACACCAGUGGCGAAAGCGGCCUCCUGGACCACUUCUGACGCUCAGACGCGAAAGCUAGGGUAGCAAACGG
rnacentral:rRNA from 1 species